rnacentral:lncRNA from 1 species
CGCUUUUCCAGAACUACUGCAUAAGUCAUGAGCGACCAUGUUGUCGAAAAUGUAUCAACUCCACCCAUAAGAACUGUAUAGAUAUGCCACCUCUAGAUGACGUCAUUAAAGAUGUUCGCCAGUCAACUGCAGUAGAAGACAUACAAGAACGUCUGCAGUAUCUUAAAGAGUUUUAUCAGUGUCUUUGUCAAGAAAAGGAAUCCAAUGCCAAUGAAAUAAAAUCCCAGUCAAUAACUAUCAUUGCAAAUAUUACGUCCAUCCGAAAUAAAUUGAAUCAGCAUUUAGAC